AAUGAACGUUGGCGGCGUGGAUUAGGCAUGCAAGUCGAGCGAGAACCCCGCAAGGGGGGACAGCGGCAAACGGGGUAGUAACGGGUAGGCGACGUACCCUCGGGUCGGGGAUAGCCACGGGAAACUGUGGGUAAUACCCGAUAAUCUCCGGAGACGUGUUAGUUUCCGGAGCAAAGGUGUGAUUCCACCGGAGGAGCGGCCUGCUUCGUAUUAGCUGGUUGGUGAGGUAACGGCUCACCAAGGCGACGAUGCGUAGGGGGUGUGAGAGCAUGACCCCCACCACUGGGACUGAGAUACUGCCCAGACACCUACGGGUGGCUGCAGUCGAGAAUCUUCGGCAAUGGGCGCAAGCCUGACCGAGCGACGCCGCGUGUGGGAUGAAGGCCCUUGGGUUGUAAACCACUGUCAGAGGGGAUGAAGUUCAUGGGAGCAAUCUUCCAUGAUUGACAUAGCCUCAGAGGAAGCACGGGCUAAGUUCGUGCCAGCCGCCGCAGUAACAC
rnacentral:rRNA from 1 species